AUGUAUCAGUUAUCGUUUAUUUACCUUACUACAUGGAUACCUGUGGUUCUAGAGCUACAUGCAAACUUCGACUUCGGAAGGGGUGUAUUUAUUAGAAAAACCAAUGCCCUCCGGGGCUUUCUGGUUCAAAACUUGUCGAAUCGCAUGGCCUUGCGCCGGCGAUGGUUCAUUCAAAUUUCUGCCCUAUCAACUUUCGAUGGGAUGGCCUACCAUGGUGGCAACGGGCGGGGAAUGGUUCGAUUCCGGAGAGGGAGCCGAAACGGCUACCACAUCCAAGGAAGGCAUCAGGCGCCAAAUUACCCAAUCCCGAUCCGGGGAGGCAAAUACGACAGGGCUCUUUUGGGUCUUGUUGGAAGUACAAUUACCCCUCGAGGAUCAAUUGGAGGGCAAGUCUGGUGCCAGCAGCCGCGGUUCCAGCUCCAACGUAUAUUGUUGCAGUAAAGCUCGUACCUUGGGCCUGGCUGGCCGGUCCGCCUCACGGCGUGCACUGGUCCGGCUGGGCCUUUCCUUCUGGGGAACCCCAUGGCCUUCACUGGCCGUGGGUGGAACCAGGACUUUUACUGUGAAAAAAUUAGAGUGUUCAAAGCAGGCCUUUGCUCGGAUACAUCAUGGAAAAGACGUGUGGUUCUAUUUUGUUGGUUUCGACCGCCGUUAAGGAUAGUCAGGGAUAUCAGUAUUCGGCUGUCAGAGGAAUUCUUGGAUUUGCUGAAGACCUACUGCGAAAGCAUUCGCCAAGGAUGUUUUCAUUCAGACGAAAGUGGGAUCGAAGACGAUCAGAUACCGUCGUCUCCAACUAUGCCGACGGAUCGGACGGGGUUUCUUUUACCCGUUCGGCACCUUACGAGAAAUCAAAGUUUUUGGGUUCUGGGGGGAGUAUGGUGCAAGGCUGAAACAAAUCGGAAGGGCACCACCAGGCGUGGAGCCUGCGGCUUUCUCAAAACGGGGAAACUCACCAGGUCCAGACAAAAGGAUCAGAUUGAGAGCUCUUUCUUCUUUUGGAUGGUGGUGCAUGGCCGUUCUUUGGUGGAGUUUGUCUGCUUUGCGAUAACGAACGAGACCUCCUGCACCCGGUCGGCGUCCGCCGGCCGCUGGCUUCUAGGGACUAUCGACUCAAGUCGAUGGAAGUUGGCAACAGGUCUGUGCCCUAUGUUCUGGGCCGCACGCGCGCUACACCAGGGCCAGCGAGUCCAUCACCUUGGCAGAGAGGCCUGGGUCUUGUACCCUGUCGUGCUGGGGAAGCAUUGCAAUUAUUGCUCUUCAACGAGGAAUGCCAAAAGGCACAAGUCAUCAGCUUGUGCCGAUUACGUCCCUGCCCUUUGUACACACCAGCCCGUCGCUACUACCGAUUGAAUGGCUCAGGGCCUUCGGACUGGCCCAGGGAGGUUGGAAACGACCGCCCAGGGCCGGAAAGUUGGUCAAACUCGGUCAUUUUGA
rnacentral:rRNA from 1 species